CGAAUCCAUAUUGGAUUGGGACGCACCUUUUGAAUGAGCUAGGAUUAGCAUCCGGUGCUACAUACACAGCUAUUGGCAAAACGGCGUUGAAUUCACGAGGGAGCUGCAGAAUGGUAACCUCCCUUCAACUGCUGCUCACCCUUGUACUCUGUGUCCAUCUUGGCUUAGGGGCAAACUCAGCCAUUGAAUGUCGUACUGGAGACACAGUCACACUCCCCUGCCAUGGAAGACCACUUAAUGACACAGAGGAGCUUCAGUGGAUGUUUCAAGGCAAGCCUGCCUCAUUAUAUAGAGGUGGAUGCUGGUGUGAAACUGGUCAUUAUAUCAACCGAACCUGGCUUGGAUCCAUCCAACAAAAGAACUGGUCUCUGAUUAUCACCGACAUCAGAGAAGAGGAUGAGGGGUCCUAUGCAUGCCGAGACGGUGGACGUACAGAUGAUGUGGAAAACAUUCGCCUCAUCAUUCUCAGUAAGUGACCCUUAUUACCAAGUGACCCUUCAGAUGGUCACUUGGUCACUUAGCCGCAUCAUCUUACAUAAUAUAGUACAUAAUAAUCAUGAUAUUUUUAAUAUGUUUUUUAGGGCUGAACGAUAUUGAGAAAAGUGCACGUUAUGAUUUUUGAAGUUUUAAGCACAUGCAGCA